CCCGCUGAACUUAAGCAUAUUAAUAAGCGGAGGAAAAGAAACUAACAAGGAUUCCCCUAGUAACGGCGAGUGAAGCGGGAAGAGCUCAAGCUUAAAAUCUCCGUGCAAGUUUUGCGCGGCGAAUUGUAGUCUAUAGAGGCGUGAUCAGUGUGGGCGCUUGGGGCAAGUUCCUUGGAAGAGGACAGCAUGGAGGGUGAUACUCCCGUUCAUCCCUGAGUUGCUCGUGCGUACGAUCCGUUUUCUUUGAGUCGCGUUGUUUGGGAAUGCAGCGCAAAGUAGGUGGUAAAUUCCAUCUAAAGCUAAAUAUUGGUGCGAGACCCGAUAGCGAACAAGUACCGUGAGGUAUAGAUGAAAAGAACUUUGAAAAGAGAGUUAAAGAGUACCUGAAACUGCUGAAAGGGAACCGAAUCGUUUCCAGUGUCUAUAAUCCGUGGUAUAUUUCAUUGGCGAGUGUGUGCGUGCGUGUGCUGUGGCAGCGGCUUUUUUGGCUGCGCUCGGCGUGUGUGCUGUGUGUGCUUGCUGGUGCCCUGUGCUGCGGUGGGACGUCAAGGUCAGUUCGUAUGCUGCGGGAAAUGGCCGCCGAGGAGGUAGGGCUUACGCUUGCGUUUGUCUGUUAUAUCUUGGUGGACGAGUAGUCGCGGUUGGGACUGAGGUGCCUACAACGUGUUUUUGAGUGGGCCUGUGUCUCUGUGUGCGCCGUGUGCGGAUAGCUUGCUAUGCGUGUGUGGUUGUGUGUGAAUUGAUGUGGGUUUUAAACUUGUUGCCUUUCGGGAGCGUGACGAAAAUGAGAGCGUUUUGACCCGUCUUGAAAACCGG
rnacentral:ncRNA from 1 species